ensembl:lncRNA
AUUACUCUUCACAAAAUAGAAGGCUGACACAUGAGUAUCCCUUCCAGAGGUAUGUAGGUCACUUCAAAAGUAGUGCCCCCUAUUUAUUUCCAUGAAAACUUGUUGAUAGAGCAAAUUCUCAGUUACAAAACAUAGUAACCACCAAUAGCUAUGCAUUUUCACCAGCAACGAACAAGAACCUGCAUGCUGCAUUCAUAAACAUCCAUGCCAGUGGAGGUGACCACUGCUGAAAUGCACCACCCACUGCCUCACUACGCUCACAUCCUCUGUUUGGUCUCCAGAAAUGUUCAUUAAGCAUCAGGAGAUACCAAUGCGUGUCAUUUUUUCCACUGUGAGGAAUUCAGACAUACCUUUGUUCCAUACGCACUUCCAUGUCAGAUGCCAUUGUGUCAGACUGUGCCUCUGCUGCCAUCUGUCAUGCAGCAACAACACGUAAUGGAGUAUUGGUGGGAAGGUUCAACUUUUCCUGCCAUAUUACCAACAUCUGUCUCUGACGUUGUGGGCCAAUACAAAAACAUAGGAGGCAUUACGUUUGAAGCAAACCCAUACCAUACAUUUACUAAUUGCAAAGUGACAUUCCUGAGAAUACUCAUGAAAAUUAACCAAACAUUUUGUCAAAAUGUUAUGUGAUUCUUCCAAGAUAUAUAGUGAAUUUUAACCUCUUCCUCCCCAAAUUACUUCUAGCAAGCACAUGCCUGAUGCCCUGGGUUUUCAUGCAGUCCUGUAGCUGCAAGCCCUGAGCCUCACCUGUAAUUUGUUUUACAUUGUUUGUGUGUAAGCAUUAGUCAGUUAUGUUCUACGCAGUAGUGUGCUUUAUAAAAACUGAUUUUAAUGUGUUUAUAGUGUAAAAAUGCAGCUCUAUUUCUGUAUCUUGAAUGAAAGAAAACUGUAUCUACUUUUCAGUUUCUUUACAUCUUUCUCUGGUGUAUUAUUUGUGGGAAUUUUUUUUUUCAGUUUACUCAUCAUUCAGUAAUGAAGACAUUGGAAAGGCAGAAUGAAGCAUCAAGAAUUUUGGUUUUUUCCUUAUUUGUUUUUAGACUGUGUUGAUGACAUAACCUAAGCAGGAAUUGGUAUAUCUUACAGUGUUUUAGCAGUGAAACUUUGCCAGUCUUACGCUGGCAUAACCUUGGAAGUGCAAUUCUGAAUCUUGUCAGAAAGACCGUGGGCUUAUGAAAGACAGCCCAAAGCAUCCCCCAGAAAACAUCAGCACAUUAGCAGAGCUGUCCCAGUGCUGCAACGUGUUUGAGCACUGCCUGGGAUUGUUCAGUCCAGAGAAGAGGAGGCUCAGGGGAGACCUUAUCUCUUUCUACAACUGCCUGAAAGGGGGUUGUAGCAAGGGGGGGAUCAGCCUCUUAGGUAACAGUGAUAGGAUGAGAGGUAAUGACCUUAAGCUGUGCUGAGAAAGUUCAGGCUGGAUAUUAGGAAAAACUUAUUCUUCAAAAUUGGUGAGGCAGUGGCAUGGGCUGCCCAGGGAGGUGGUGCAGUCACCGUUCCUAGAAGUGUUCAAGAGCCGUGUGGAUAUGGCACUGAGGGAUGUGGGCAGUGGGCAUGGUGGGGUGAGCUGAAGGCUGGACGAGAUGAUCUGAGAAGGUCUUUUCCAACCGUAAUGAUUCUGUGUUUUUAUGAAGCACUACCAUGGCAAUAAGAUCAUGGAGCAGAAAUUUCCUGCUCGGAAAUUUAACGGUUUUAUUCUUUCUUUUUUUUUCAUUUUCCGCAAUAAAAUAUGCAAAUUACAAACUUUCUGUACACCCAAGAUGAUUUGGUUGGUUGUCACUAUGUGUGCAAGAACCCAGUGGUUCAUUUGAUGCUGUCCUGUACAAGAAAAUAAGGGCUUAAACGGGGAGUAUCUGCACGAAGGUGCUCAAAGGAAAGCAGUGAAAGGACUAUUGCACGAGUUCCUUCCUCUCCUGUUCACCUUUACAUCCGAUCUACACCGGUUCGUUUCCAAUGGCUUAUACAAAGGAGUCGUUAUCGGAAAUAUCCAAUAUCCACUGCAGCUGUGCCGAAGGAUGAGAGCAGACCCGCAGUCGGCCGUACUGAAGCGGCUCAGCUACCGGCGGCAGAACCUGAGCAGGAGCAUCCCUCG